UCCUCUCCUCCUCAAUCCCGUGCGCUCCCCAAGCCGCCGCCACGAUAGACCACGAGCCGCCACCGUCACCGUGCCUUGCCCCCUCGCGCCUCCUCCUCUGCGACUCCGAGACGCCGCCAUCGCGCAUCUCCGCCUCAACCCACCCAACGCUGCGCUGGGAUGGAGGUGGAGGAGCACGGAUUCGGAAGAGGCGUGCGCUCGUCCGCGCCCUCGAUUUCUUCCAGCGGCGGCUGCCCGCGUGCCCUCGAUUUCGUCCAACGGCGGCUGGCCGCGCGCUGGCGGCGAAAGGCGGCAACCGAGCGGUGGUGGCGGCUGGUGGCGCUCGCCCUCGAUUUCGUCCGAGCGUCCAGCGGCGGCGGAAGGGAGCAGAAGAGGCGCGCCGGCGGCGGAAGGCAGCAAUCGAGCGGUGGUGGCGGCGGCUGGACCGUGCGCGCCCUCGAUUUCUUCCUCGGCACUCCUGGAGUGGAGAUGCUCUCAGUCGCUUCCAUAGUAGGUCGCCUCGCCUCACCUCGCCUAGCUGCACACCCUCGGUCGACUCCCGGCGUCGCGCGCUUGUCCACCACGCCCUAAGGCCGCUCCAGCCUCCAGCCUUGAUGUUGAUGAAAUUGAAAAGAUCAUUUAUAUUGAUGUGAGAGUUCUCAGAGGAGGAGGAAAAAACAGUUUCCCUAUUGCUGCUCUGUUGAUGUUUUUCAGAAGGUUGGUCUUGUUCUUGGACCUGAUUUUGUAUGCUGCUUGGUGCUUCCAGAUUUACUGGAAUAUCCUUGUACAUCUGAAGCUUUCCUUAAUAUAGAUAUAUAUGUAGCACAUAAUAACCACGUCGAGCAGGAUGGGUGGCGCAUCAGUGGAGUCAUCGCGCCAGCAUGUCGACUCUCGCCAGCCUCCACAAGCGGCGAAGACGGUUCAGCUUGGCCAUGGCGAUGGCAGUUUUCCGGAUCUGUGUUGUAGUUGUUGCUGCUGCUGGGCGAGCUGUUACAUAGUCACACUGAGGCUGACGCGCAACAAUGCUUGCAUUUCUGGGGCAUCAUCUCAUGCAGACGUCGGCACCUGACAUCCAUCCGAUAUGAGCGAUUACCUGACGGAUUCAUCCCUGGAGUGAUACAUCAAAAGAUUACUUGGAUGGUGCCCAGAUAACACGAAGGAGGUUCUAGGAUUUAGUAGGCUCGCUUCUUGUCUCAUCCUGUACUAGGCUCUGGUUAUGUGCUCUUCUUCUGUGUUGAGUUAACCCAUAUGAGUAUGUGAUCUGCUAAAUAACACCGAGACAGUCCUAGGCAUGAGUGAAAUCAAGGACUUGUUUGAGGAUAUACCAGUGGCUGUAAGCUAAUGCGUUCUUGUGCCUAUUUUGGAUUUGUUUGGCCGUUUUCGGUUGUAAUCUCGAUGUGUUCCUUGAGCACUGGAAAUGAGUUAAUUCUAAAGUAAAGGUACAUUGAUUCACCCUGUUGCUACCUUCAUUGGUGGAGUGACCAUCUAGGAAGUAAUCAAGGUCUUCAUUGUGUUCCAGAAAGAAAGAUGAGGCUGCCUUUUACUUAUUGUGUCGGAAGGAUGCAGCACCACUGAAGGCACUACUUCAUUCUAUUACGAUUGGUAAGAUGAUUGUCAUUGACUUUUUUCUGAUGUCAAACCGAUACAACAAAUGUCCUCUCAAUUCUAUAUGGAAUAUAUGGAGUUCUAGAUUCAAUUUCAUCUGGCCCUACUGAUGCAUGUGCAAGACUUUUCUCUUUUUACCAGCGGCCAGUGAGAGCAUCAAGAGGAGCAUCGCCGACGGCCAGCACCAAUCGAAGCCCCACGGAGAGAGGUGACAUGGGACCUCCUUCCCUGAUCUGCUUCAGCUUGCAGGGUCUGUUAUUUCCACCUUGAUUCCCAUUUUCUAGGGUAUCAAACAUCACGUUGGUUAAUUGGUCGGCAAGAUAUGGCUUUUAUUGCUUCAGGUCCAAUUAAAAUGCUUCAGGUUCGACUGAAAUGUUUAUUGCUUCCAUUGGUCAAAUGCGUUGGUGGUCUUCGAGUAAUCGCGAGCCGUGGUCU